UGGGGAAUAUUGGGCAAUGGGCGAAAGCCUGACCCAGCAACGCCGCGUGGAGGAAGAAGGUUUUCGGAUCGUAAACUCCUGUCCUAAGAGACGAGGAAGAGACGGUAUCUUAGGAGGAAGCCCCGGCUAACUACGUGCCAGCAGCCGCGGUAAUACGUAGGGGGCAAGCGUUGUCCGGAAUGAUUGGGCGUAAAGGGCGCGUAGGCGGCUCGGUAAGUCUGGAGUGAAAGUCCUGGCUUUAAGUUGGGAAUUGCUUUGGAUACUGUCGGGCUUGAGUGCAGGAGAGGUUAGUGGAAUUCCCAGUGUAGCGGUGAAAUGCGUAGAGAUUGGGAGGAACACCAGUGGCGAAGGCGACUAACUGGACUGUAACUGACGCUGAGGCGCGAAAGUGUGGGGAGCAAACAGGAUUAGAUACC
rnacentral:rRNA from 1 species